ACGGGAGGCAGCAGUGAGGAAUAUUGGUCAAUGGGCGGAAGCCUGAACCAGCCAAGUCGCGUGAAGGAUGAAGGUAUUAUGUAUUGUAAACUUCUUUAGACGCAGAGAAAUAAGGGCCUCGUGAGGCUUGAUGCUAGUAUGCGUAGAAUAAGGACCGGCUAAUUCCGUGCCAGCAGCCGCGGUAAUACGGAAGGUCCGGGCGUUAUCCGGAUUUAUUGGGUUUAAAGGGAGCGCAGGCGGCGAUUUAAGCGUGUUGUGAAAUGUAGGAGCUCAACUUCUGCUCUGCAGCGCGAACUGGAUUGCUUGAGUACGCGGGAAGUAGGCGGAAUUCGUCGUGUAGCGGUGAAAUGCUUAGAUAUGACGAAGAACUCCGAUUGCGAAGGCAGCCUACUGUAGCGUUACUGACGCUAAAGCUCGAAAGUGUGGGUAUCGAACAGGAUUAGAUACCCUGGUA
rnacentral:rRNA from 1 species